GAAAGAAAGAAAGAAAAAGAAAGAAAGAAAAAAGGAAUGUUCAUUUCAGUGAUCCUAAUUGAAAACAAUCUAAGUUAUGCUCAUUUGGGCAUUGGAGAAAUAAACAAUAGAACAAUCAUUUAUUAAAUACCAUCUGACCAUGAAGAAGGUUGGGGAGAUUCCUAUUGCUGGAUUGCCAACAAUCUACGAAAUGAAAAAGGGGUGUUCAUCGACUUCCCGCAUCCAAAACAUCAUGACAUGUGGCCAGCCACAUCCCCUCAGCAACCCCUCGAGUGACCACGUGUCACGACGGCCAUCAUGCGUUUACCUCCACGUGGAAGCAUCCCUCUCUCUUCCUCCUCUUUCUUGAUUGCUCCUCUAGCAAAAAAGUCUUCACACAACAACCAAACUGAGCCUGUAGAAACACAAACCAGAGGAGGAUACAUCCAAACCAUUUCCUGUGGUCUGCGAAGCUCUAUCUAUGCUGGCCUCUGCCUGUCACUUACAGUCAUCUCGCCCUACACUCCACCCCGCACAAGCAAAGCAGAUAAGCUCCUAGCUCUCUUGGGCUCCCAGUCAAACUGGGAGGUGAACAGUAGUUACCAAAAAAGAAAGUAUGAUUGCAAGCUAUGAAGAACUGUGAAAAAAUGAGCAUGUUUAACAUGAAUGUAUGAUUGAAGUCUCUGACUUAGUUCAGGUGGACAAAAGAAGGCUUUCUGGAGGAAGUAACUUUUGAGUAGAGGUGUGAAGUUUAAGGAGCAAACAAGGCAAAGGCAAAAAAAAAAAAAAAAAAAAAAAAAACAGCAAGUGUGGAGGACCUGUGAGAAUAGGGUGCCUUUCACCCGGGAAGGAUUGAAAGCAAGCCCAGGUGGCCGCAGCACAGAGAUGCGGGCCGUGCCUAGUCAGAAGAGCAAGACUUAUAAAUAUUGCAGCCAGCAGUUAGCUGCCGGCUGGGAUUGCGGGGGUCUCUCUGGAUGCCAAGUGAAUGUUAGAACAGACUCAUUAGCUCUCUUUUUAGUCCCUUUUUGUCUCCUUGCACUCCU
rnacentral:lncRNA from 1 species